CUCAACGGAUAAAAGGUACUCCGGGGAUAACAGGCUGAUACCGCCCAAGAGUUCAUAUCGACGGCGGUGUUUGGCACCUCGAUGUCGGCUCAUCACAUCCUGGGGCUGAAGUAGGUCCCAAGGGUAUGGCUGUUCGCCAUUUAAAGUGGUACGCGAGCUGGGUUUAGAACGUCGUGAGACAGUUCGGUCCCUAUCUGCCGUGGGCGUUGGAAGAUUGAGAGGGGUUGCUCCUAGUACGAGAGGACCGGAGUGAACGCACCACUGGUGUUCGGGUUG
rnacentral:rRNA from 1 species